GUGGGGAAUAUUGGGCAAUGGGGGCAACCCUGACCCAGCGACGCCGCGUGAGGGAAGAAGGCCUUAGGGUCGUAAACCUCUGUUGUGUGGGAAGAAGGAAGUGACGGUACCACACGAGGAAGUCCCGGCUAACUACGUGCCAGCAGCCGCGGUAAUACGUAGGGGACGAGCGUUGUCCGGAAUUACUGGGCGUAAAGGGCGCGUAGGCGGUCAUUUAAGUCAGCUGUGAAAUGGUCCGGCUCAACCGGAUCAUGCGGUUGAAACUGGAUGACUGGAGUGCUGGAGAGGCAAGUGGAAUUCCCAGUGUAGCGGUGAAAUGCGUAGAUAUUUGGAAGAACACCGGUGGCGAAGGCGACUUGCUGGCCAGCCACUGACGCUGAGGCGCGAAAGCCAGGGGAGCAAAUGGGAUUAGAAACCCGGGUAGUCC
rnacentral:rRNA from 1 species